GAUGAACGCUGGCGGCGUGCCUAAUACAUGCAAGUCGAGCGAACAGACGAGGAGCUUGCUCCUCUGACGUUAGCGGCGGACGGGUGAGUAACACGUGGAUAACCUACCUAUAAGACUGGGAUAACUUCGGGAAACCGGAGCUAAUACCGGAUAAUAUAUUGAACCGCAUGGUUCAAUAGUGAAAGACGGUUUUGCUGUCACUUAUAGAUGGAUCCGCGCCGCAUUAGCUAGUUGGUAAGGUAACGGCUUACCAAGGCAACGAUGCGUAGCCGACCUGAGAGGGGGAUCGGCCACACUGGAACUGAGACACGGUCCAGACUCCGACGGGAGGCAGAAGUAGGGAAUCUUCCGCAAUGGGCGAAAGCCUGACGGAGCAACGCCGCGUGAGUGAUGAAGGUCUUCGGAUCGUAAAACUCUGUUAUUAGGGAAGAACAAAUGUGUAAGUAACUAUGCACGUCUUGACGGUACCUAAGCAGAAAGCCACGGCUAACUACGG
rnacentral:rRNA from 1 species